AGAGUUUGAUCAUGGCUCAGGAUAAACGCUGGCGGCGUGCUUAACACAUGCAAGUCGAACGGGAACUACAUUGACAAGAAGCUUGCUUCAAGGAUAUAUAGUUCGAGUGGCGGACGGGUGAGUAACGCGUGAGUAACCUGCCGUAUACCGGGGGACAACAGAGGGAAACUUCUGCUAAUACCGCAUAAGCGCACAGCAUCACAUGAUGCAGUGUGAAAAACUCCGGUGGUAUACGAUGGACUCGCGUCUGAUUAGCCAGUUGGUGAGGUAACGGCUCACCAAAGCAACGAUCAGUAGCCGGCCUGAGAGGGUGAACGGCCACAUUGGGACUGAGACACGGCCCAGACUCCUACGGGAGGCAGCAGUGGGGAAUAUUGCACAAUGGAGGAAACUCUGAUGCAGCGACGCCGCGUGAGUGAAGAAGUAUUUCGGUAUGUAAAGCUCUAUCAGCAGGGAAGAAAGAAAUGACGGUACCUGACUAAGAAGCCCCGGCUAACUAC
rnacentral:rRNA from 1 species